UACGAAGGACCCGAGCGUUAUCCGGAUUCAUUGGGUUUAAAGGGUGCGUAGGUGGGCCCAUAAGUCAGUGGUGAAAGCCCUUCGCUUAACGAAGGAAUUGCCAUUGAUACUGUGGGUCUUGAGUACAGUUGAGGUGGGCGGAAUGUGUCAUGUAGCGGUGAAAUGCUUAGAUAUGACACAGAACACCGAUUGCGAAGGCAGCUCGCUAAACUGUAACUGACACUGAGGCACGAAAGCGUGGGUAGCAAACAGG
rnacentral:rRNA from 1 species